rnacentral:rRNA from 1 species
GACGAACGCUGGCGGCGUGCCUAACACAUGCAAGUCGAACGGAAAGGCCCUGCUUGUUGGGUGCUCGAGUGGCGAACGGGUGAGUAACACGUGUGUGAGCUGCCCUUUACUGUGGGAUAAGCCUGGGAAAGUGGGUCUAAUACUGGACAGGAUCAUGCCGUAGGUGGUGUGGUGGAGAGAUUAGUUUCGGUAAGGGAUGAGCUCGCGGCCUAUCAGUUUGUUGGUGGGGUAAUGGCCUACCAAGGCGUCGACGGGUAGCCGGCCUGAGAGGGUGGACGGCCACGUUGGGACUGAGAUGCGGCGCAGACUCCGGCGAGAGGCAGCAGUGGGGGAUAUUGCGCAAUAGGCGCAAGCCUGAUGCAGCGACGCCGCGUGGGGGGUGACGGCCUUCGGGUUGUGAACACCUUUCAGCCAUGACGAAGCCCUUGUGGUGACGGUAGUGGUAGAAGAAGCACCGGCUAACUACGUG